rnacentral:rRNA from 1 species
UAGGAAUAUUGCGCAAUGGGGGAAACCCUGACGCAGCAAUCCCGCGUGAGUGAUGAAGGCCUUCGGGUUGUAAAGCUCUUUUAGUAAGAAAGAAAAAAAUGACGGUACUUACAGAAAAAGCACCGGCAAACUUUGUGCCAGCAGCCGCGGUAAUACGAAGGGUGCAAGCGUUACUCGGAUUUACUGGGCGUAAAGCGUCCGCAGGCUGUUUAGUCAGUUUGGUGUGAAAUCCCACUGCUCAAAGGUGGAAGUGCAUUGAAUACUGCUAGACUAGAGUAUAGGAGGGGAGAAUGGAAUUCCUGGUGUAGAGGUGAAAUUCGUAGAUAUCAGGAGGAACAACGGAAGCGAAGGCGAUUCUCUGGACUAUUACUGACGCUCAUGGACGAAAGUGUGGGGAGCAAAC